AGAGUUUGAUCCUGGCUCAGGAUGAACGCUGGCGGCGUGCCUAAUACAUGCAAGUCGAACGAGUUCUGAUUAUUGAAAGGUGCUUGCAUCUUGAUUUAAUUUUGAACGAGUGGCGGACGGGUGAGUAACACGUGGGUAACCUGCCCUUAAGUGGGGGAUAACAUUUGGAAACAGAUGCUAAUACCGCAUAAAUCCAAGAACCGCAUGGUUCUUGGCUGAAAGAUGGCGUAAGCUAUCGCUUUUGGAUGGACCCGCGGCGUAUUAGCUAGUUGGUGAGGUAACGGCUCACCAAGGCAAUGAUACGUAGCCGAACUGAGAGGUUGAUCGGCCACAUUGGGACUGAGACACGGCCCAAACUCCUACGGGAGGCAGCAGUAGGGAAUCUUCCACAAUGGACGCAAGUCUGAUGGAGCAACGCCGCGUGAGUGAAGAAGGCUUUCGGGUCGUAAAACUCUGUUGUUGGAGAAGAAUGGUCGGCAGAGUAACUGUUGUCGGCGUGACGGUAUCCAACCAGAAAGCCACGGCUAACUACGUGCCAGCAGCCGCGGUAAUACGUAGGUGGCAAGCGUUAUCCGGAUUUAUUGGGCGUAAAGCGAGCGCAGGCGGUUUUUUAAGUCUGAUGUGAAAGCCCUCGGCUUAACCGAGGAAGUGCAUCGGAAACUGGGAAACUUGAGUGCAGAAGAGGACAGUGGAACUCCAUGUGUAGCGGUGAAAUGCGUAGAUAUAUGGAAGAACACCAGUGGCGAAGGCGGCUGUCUGGUCUGUAACUGACGCUGAGGCUCGAAAGCAUGGGUAGCGAACAGGAUUAGAUACCCUGGUAGUCCAUGCCGUAAACGAUGAAUGCUAGGUGUUGGAGGGUUUCCGCCCUUCAGUGCCGCAGCUAACGCAUUAAGCAUUCCGCCUGGGGAGUACGACCGCAAGGUUGAAACUCAAAGGAAUUGACGGGGGCCCGCACAAGCGGUGGAGCAUGUGGUUUAA
rnacentral:rRNA from 1 species